UCACCGUGUGACCCUUGUGUUUUUAGCAUUUUUGAGUCCUUUCAAAGUCUCUUCUUCUCAAUCUUGUGCAGCGAGACUUGUACCUUAAGUGCUACUUUUUGUUUUAUCAGCCAUCCCAGAAGAGAUUUUCUUGAGCGAAAAUGGCAGAUGAAGGUACAGCCACUUGUUUAGACGUUCUUGUUGCUAUCCUCUUGCCUCCUCUCGGUGUCUUCCUCAAAUAUGGCUGCAAGGCUGAAUUCUGGAUCUCUGUGUUGCUGACCAUACUUGGGUACCUGCCUGGGAUCAUUUAUGCUGUAUGGGUCAUCACCAAGAAGUGAUCUACUCUCCUGACGGCGGGAUACAAAGAUGGCCUUGGAAUAUUAUUUUCUUUUGUAUGUAAUUUAAGGGCAUAUGGAGUACUACUCUAUUAUCAUGGAUGGAUGGUACUGUUAUAGGUCCUUAGUUUGUAUGUUUCUAUUUUCUUUUUCUUUUCUGUAUUUGCAGUAGGGAGAAUUGGAGUGGAAUUUGGUGAUUAACUUUGUCAUUGUCUAUUAUGUCAUGGCUGAUGAUUUGAUUUCUUGUGUCUUUGUAAAUCCACAUUUGGAUUCAUGUGAUUUGUUUUGUUGAUCUUGCAAAAGUGUAAACGGAAAAUUCUAAUAAGCUGAUACGUGUUUGAUGCUUGUUA